rnacentral:rRNA from 1 species
AGUCGAGCGAAUGGAUUAAGAGCUUGCUCUUAUGAAGUUAGCGGCGGACGGUUGAGUAACACGUGGGUAACCUGCCCAUAAGACUGGGAUAACUCCGGGAAACCGGGGCUAAUACCGGAUAACAUUUUGCACCACAUGGUGCGAAAUUGAAAGGCGGCUUCGGCUGUCACUUAUGGAUGGACCCGCGUCGCAUUAGCUAGUUGGUGAGGUAACGGCUCACCAAGGCAACGAUGCGUAGCCGACCUGAGAGGGUGAUCGGCCACACUGGGACUGA